GACGAACGCUGGCGGCGCGCCUAACACAUGCAAGUCGAACGAGCGAGAGAGAGCUUGCUUUCUCGAGCGAGUGGCGAACGGGUGAGUAACGCGUGAGGAACCUGCCUCAAAGAGGGGGACAACAGUUGGAAACGACUGCUAAUACCGCAUAAGCCCACGGCUCGGCAUCGAGCAGGGGGAAAAGGAGCAAUCCGCUUUGAGAUGGCCUCGCGUCCGAUUAGCUAGUUGGUGAGGUAACGGCCCACCAAGGCGACGAUCGGUAGCCGGACUGAGAGGUUGAACGGCCACAUUGGGACUGAGACACGGCCCAGACUCCUACGGGAGGCAGCAGUGGGGAAUAUUGCACAAUGGGGGAAACCCUGAUGCAGCGACGCCGCGUGGAGGAAGAAGGUCUUCGGAUUGUAAACUCCUGUUGUUGGGGAAGAUAAUGACAGUACCCAACAAGGAAGUGACGGCUAACUACGU
rnacentral:rRNA from 1 species